UACGGAGGGGGCGAGCGUUGUCCGAAGUUACUGGGCGUAAAGCGCGCGUAGGCGGGUUGGUAAGUCCGCUGUGAAAGCCCGGAGCUCAACUCCGGAGGGUCGGUGGAUACUGCCAGUCUUGAAGGUGCUAGGGGGAGAUGGAAUUACCGGUGUAGCGGUGAAAUGCGUAGAGAUCGGUAGGAACACCAGUGGCGAAGGCGGUCUCCUGGGGCAUUCUUGACGCUGAUGCGCGAAAGCUGGGGGAGCGAACGGG
rnacentral:rRNA from 1 species